rnacentral:rRNA from 1 species
AGAGUUUGAUCAUGGCUCAGAAUCAACGCUGGCGGCGUGCCUCAGACAUGCAAGUCGAACGAUUAAAGCUCUCUUCGGAGAGUGCAUAAAGUGGCGCACGGGUGAGUAACACGUAAGUAAUCUACCUUCGAGUGGGGAAUAACGUUCGGAAACGAACGCUAAUACCGCAUAAUGCAGCGGCAUCUAUGAUGACAGUUGUUAAAGAUUUAUCGCUUGAAGAGGAGCUUGCGGCAGAUUAGCUAGUUGGUAAGGUAAUGGCUUACCAAGGCUACGAUCUGUAUCCGGUCUAAGAGGACGGUCGGACACACUGACACUGAAUAACGGGUCAGACUCCUACGGGAGGCAGCAGUCGGGAAUUUUGGGCAAUGGGCGAAAGCCUGACCCAGCAACGCCGCGUGAAGGAUGAAGUUUUUCGGAAUGUAAACUUCGUAAGAAUAGGAAGAAUAAAUGACGGUACUAUUUGUAAGGUCCGGCUAACUACGUGCCAGCAGCGGCGGUAAUAC